CUGGCUCAGGAUGAACGCUAGCGACAGGCUUAACACAUGCAAGUCGAGGGGCAGCAUAAAGUAGCAAUACUUGGUGGCGACCGGCGCACGGGUGAGUAACGCGUAUGCAACCUACCUAUCAGAGGGGAAUAACCCGGCGAAAGUCGGACUAAUACCGCAUAAAACAGGGGCACCGCAUGGCGAUAUUUGUUAAAGAAAUUCGCUGAUAGAUGGGCAUGCGUUCCAUUAGGUAGUUGGUGAGGUAACGGCUCGCCAAGCCGACGAUGGAUAGGGGAACUGAGAGGUUGGUCCCCCACACUGGUACUGAGACACGGACCAGACUCCUACGGGAGGCAGCAGUGAGGAAUAUUGGUCAAUGGACGCAAGUCUGAACCAGCCACGUCCGCGUGAAGGAAGACGGCCCUACGGGUUGUAAACUUCUUUUGUAAGGGAAUAAAGUGGGCCACGUGUGGCUUUUUGCAUGUACCUUACGAAUAAGGAUCGGCUAACUCCGUGCCAGCAGCUGC
rnacentral:rRNA from 1 species